GACGAACGCUGGCGGCGUGCUUAACACAUGCAAGUCGAACGGAAAGGCCCUGCUUUUGUGGGGUGCUCGAGUGGCGAACGGGUGAGUAACACGUGAGUAACCUGCCCUUGACUUUGGGAUAACUUCAGGAAACUGGGGCUAAUACCGGAUAGGAGCUCCUGCUGCAUGGUGGGGGUUGGAAAGUUUCGGCGGGUGGGGAUGGACUCGCGGCUUAUCAGCUUGUUGGUGGGGUAGUGGCUUACCAAGGCUUUGACGGGUAGCCGGCCUGAGAGGGUGACCGGCCACAUUGGGACUGAGAUACGGCCCAGACUCCUACGGGAGGCAGCAGUGGGGAAUAUUGCACAAUGGGCGGAAGCCUGAUGCAGCAACGCCGCGUGCGGGAUGACGGCCUUCGGGUUGUAAACCGCUUUCGCCUGUGACGAAGCGUGAGUGACGGUAAUGGGUAAAGAAGCACCGGCUAACUACGU
rnacentral:rRNA from 1 species